rnacentral:tRNA from 1 species
ACUGAUGUGGCAGAAUAAGUGCAUUAAAUUUAAAAUUUAAUUAUAAAUAUAAAUUAUUUCUUCAGUA